rnacentral:lncRNA from 1 species
GCUUGUUCUGCAUAACCACCAUGUGUAGAACAGAAAAAAAAAAUCAAAACUGCAACAGAAAGGUUUUGAGGAAGUGUCUAGGGAAAGCAUGUAGAAAUAUAUGAUAUUUUAAAAAAUGAGUUUGUACUUGGAGAAUAAACUGACAUGUUUUGCUUUUGUUCAGCAAGUAUAUUUUUCUGCAGCAUUCCCUCCCCUGCUCUUCACAAGAAGGCCUGUAAUUGCAGGCAGGAUAUCUGUUCUAAUGAUGGAAAGAAAAGGAGCCACACUGUCAGUACUCUGCUGAAGGCCUGCCUUGCUUCUCUUCUUUGCUGUGUGAUCAUGGAGACCACAUACAUGAAGAGAACCAGCCCUAUUGCAGGAGGCCACAGGAUCCGAGCCAUGGAGACCAAGAACACUCUACACUGGGUAGAACUCACCAGGGCAAUCUGUGGUUGGGCUGGCAGGUCAAGUAGCUACAAUCCUACCCUCAGGAAAGAGUAG